rnacentral:tRNA from 1 species
UGUAGCGUAGCCCGGUAUCGCGCCUGCUUUGGGAGCAGGAGGUCGUAGGUUCGAAUCCUGCCAUCCCGACAA